AUCCAGACUCCUACGGGAGGCAGCAGUGGGGAAUAUUGCACAAUGGGGGGAACCCUGAUGCAGCGACGCCGCGUGGGUGAAGGAGCACCUCGGUGCGUAAAGCCCUAUCGGCAGGGAAGAAAAGCGAACAGGUUCGCCUGGACGGUACCUGACUAAGAAGCCCCGGCUAACUACGUGCCAGCAGCCGCGGUAAUAAGGAGGGGGCAAGCGUUAUCCGGAUUCACUGGGGGUAAAGGGAGCGUAGACGGCCAUGCAAGCCAGGGGUGAAAGCCCGGGGCCCAACCCCGGGACUGCCCUUGGAACUGCCUGGCUGGAGUGCGGGAGGGGCAGGCGGAAUUCCUGGUGUAGCGGUGAAAUGCGUAGAUAUCAGGAGGAACACCGGCGGCGAAGGCGGCCUGCUGGACUGCGACUGACGUUGAGGCUCUAAAGCGUGGGGAGCGAACAGGAUUAGAUACCCCCGUACCU
rnacentral:rRNA from 1 species